GAUGAACGCUGGCGGCGUGCCUAAUACAUGCAAGUCGAGCGAACAGACGAGGAGCUUGCUCCUCUGACGUUAGCGGCGGACGGGUGAGUAACACGUGGAUAACCUACCUAUAAGACUGGGAUAAUUUCGGGAAACCGGAGCUAAUACCGGAUAAUAUAUUGAACCGCAUGGUUCAAUAGUGAAAGACGGUUUUGCUGUCACUUAUAGAUGGAUCAGCGCCGCAUUAGCUAGUUGGUAAGGUAACGGCUUACCAAGGCAACGAUGCGUAGCCGACCUGAGAGGGUGAUCGGCCACACUGGAACUGAGACACGGUCCACACUCCUACGGGAGGCAGCAGUAGGGAAUCUUCCGCAAUGGGCGAAAGCCUGACGGAGCAACGCCGCGUGAGUGAUGAAGGUCUUCGGAUCGUAAAACUCUGUUAUUAGGGAAGAACAAAUGUGUAAGUAACUAUGCACGUCUUGACGGUACCUAAUCAGAAAGCCACGGCUAACUACGUG
rnacentral:rRNA from 1 species